UCCUCGCCUUAGAGAAACUAUGUGAUAUAUAUAUGCUGUGGGUCCCUAGCAAGAGAGCCGGGUCGGCUCUUCUCGUUUAGAAAUAAUAUAGUCAGUACCGCACCCUCUACUCUAACAUAUAGUCGGAGCUAACCAACCUUACUCAGAUCAAGCUCGGAGAUAAACCUCUUCAGAUCUAACCCAUAACAGACAAUUCUAAAGAUAAUACAAGUCACAGUGAAAACAGUAUAUAAGAUAGUAAAAUUUGUAUCCAGUGGCAUUAUUUUAUCUAAAUUUGGAAGUGAUAAAAGCAGUAGUGGAACUAAAUAGUGUAAUUAUGCUUGCUCAGUUAUCACAGGAAUAAAAUCAUGAGAAACUAAUUCUUUAUUUCUUCAAAAUGUGGAUUAGAGAUCGUGGUAAAGGAUGGAUUUCUUCGCUUCUUCUAGUCGUCUUUUUCCAGCUGGUUCAAGGAGUUUUCGGAGUAUCUCGAGGUGGAGGAUAUAGGUCCGUAGGAGGGAUGAAUACCUCCUACUCCUGUGACGGAGAACUCCUAGAUCUA